rnacentral:rRNA from 1 species
AUAUCAAUAAGCGGAGGAAAAGAAACUAACAAGGAUUCCCCUAGUAACGGCGAGUGAAGCGGGAAUAGCUCAAAUUUGAAAUCUCUUACAUUGUAAGCGAAUUGUAGUUUAGAGAAGGGUUUUCGGGAAGGAGCUCGGUACAAGUUCUUUGGAACGAGGCAUCAUAGAGGGUGACAAUCCCGUCCAUGGCCGAGCACUUUACUAUGUGAUACAACUUCUAAGAGUCGGUUUGUUUGGGAAUGCAGACCAAAAUGGGUGGUAAAUACCAUCUAAAGCUAAAUAUUGGCGAGAGACCGAUAGCGCACAAGUA